rnacentral:lncRNA from 10 species
GUGAUUCUUACUCCUCAGCCUCCCGAGUAGCUGGGAUUACAGGCAUGUGCCACCACACCUGGCUAAUUUUUGUAUUUUUAAUAGAAAUGGGGGUAUUGCCAUGUUGGCCAGGCUGGUCUCGAACUCCUGGCCUCAAGUGAUCUGUCCACCUCAGCCUCCCAAAAUGCUAAGAUUACAGACGUGAGCUACUCCGCCCGACCCUAAUGUGAUUUUCUUUAAUGGCUGGAGAGAAGCAAAAACUAGCAGAAGGGAAAACAAUGAAAUGUCAAUCUGUAUACUGUAAUAAGCAGGUACAGUUGCGUUACGAGAAGUUGACUUGGUGAGGUGAAGAGAUAUUUUCUCCCUCAAAUUUGGACUUAAUGUCCUGACAUUGUUUAGCUUUUGAAAAGUUAUUUUGGUUUAUUGACUAUUAGAGUGAGUCAUUUGACAGAAUGAGAAGAACCUGGCUACUGAGAAAGUGAGUCUAGGCAAUUCUGUAUCCCCACAUAGAGACAUAGAGACUCAUGCCAUCUAUUAAGAUGUCUGAAAUUUCUUUUUUGAAGAUUAUUUUCUAAACCGAAUGUUGGCAAACUUUUUCUGUAAAGGGCUAGAUGGUAAAUAUUUUGGACCAUGUGAUUUUUGUUCCAAUUACUCAAUUAAUAGUACCAAUGCAGCCGCAGACAGUAAACAGGUAGGUGUGUCUUUUCCAAUAAAACAAGCUGGGUAGGGACAGUAGUUUGCUGAUCCUCAUUAUAAACAUUAAAAACUAGGCCUUUGGAAACUCAAGGAAAGUGAAAGUUGGGUUGUCAUAUUUGAUCUUUAUACCAUUACCUGUGUGAUUUUUCAGUCUUGCAAAAUGCUUCCCCCUGUCCUGCCCAGUUCUGGGGCAAUAUUUGAAAGCCUAACUUUUUUUUUUCUUUUAAUACAGACAUUCUGAAUGUAAGGAAGCUUAACUUUUAAGACAAUUGUUUCCCGUUUGUAAAACAUGAUUGUAAUGUGUCCACACAGGAUAAAAUAUAGUGUGUCCUAAAUCACAAGGAAAGAAGUACAAAUUUAUCAGUGCAAUAUAGAGACUUUUACAGAGAAAGUGGGAAAACUUGUGAAACAUGGAGAUAGUUUUCAAAGGAUAGACCUGCUUCCCUUUCUCCUCCAAAAGUGAGGUAAUUUCUUCUGUCACUCUGCCAGCAUUCUCUGCUUUGAGUAUUUAUGAGGAUAAAAACUGUCUUUUUUCCUCGAUUGGAUUGUGCCAACAACAAUAAGGACCAUUUAUUUUAACAGAAGACCCUUGCCUGCCUUUGGUGGAAAUUAUAGCUUAUUUUUCUCCAAAGUGGAGACGUUGGCGAAGAGCAUUUCAUCACUUUGUUAUGAACAUGAAUUGAGAACUAGAGGCAUCACUUUAUCAGCAACAGGAAAUAAUAAAACAGGAUAAGAGCUUUGAAACAAGAGGUCAAGGUUUGGUAUUGAAGUUGCCGUGAUAAGGCAUCAGGUUGCCAUAAUUUUGGGGUUUGUACUAAAGUUGAGUAGAUGCUGGUGAGACAUAAUAGCGCAGAUAGAAAGCCAUAGGUGAUGAAGUUAGUAUCUUAUCAGUAACACAUGCUUCAGACUAACAACUAGGCACAGAGGGCAAUACUCAAAUUCUAGGGUGGGGAUGAAGGAAAGAUUUCUGUGAUGGGGCAAAGAUGUGAAGUCAGCGUACUGGACCUGAAAUCUAGGAAUUAGGAAAUUGUCCUCAGCCAGUGAAACCACUCCAGAGGUACCACAUGAUAUCUAAAUCCAUAGAAAAGAAUAAAGAACAAGUUGCUGCAGGAAGCACUGAGAACCCUCCUAGACCUAGCUAGAGGCAGGGCUAAACAAAGUUCAAAUAGCCCAGUCAGUCCAACCUCCAUGAGAAGGGAUCUGAUCCAUGAUGAUGAGUAAAUAGAGAAGGCCUUCACUAGUUACAUUAAAAUGUGAUCAAUG